CUGGUAAUCUCACAACACAAGAAAUAAUUAAUAAACAGUCAGAAGAAACGUAUAGAAGAACAAUCUUCUGGUAGGAAUCAGAUAGUUGUAAUCGAUGAUGUUUGAUCUCCAGAGCUAAGUGCUAGCACUACAAAAAAGUUAAAACAGUAAAUCCUAAAUGGCACGGCAGGCAGGCAGGCACUAUGCCUCAUUAGCCGUGCUCACCUUUUAUUCAUAGGGCUGCCACUGCGAGAUGCUCACCACCACUGCUAGAGUUGCAGAAAAACUGAUGUAUCGUGGCAUAUUUACCAUUUGUUGAACAAACUAAACUCCCCUUACCAGGGAAUAAUUUUUUAAAAUAGAAAAUAGUUAUAGACUAGGAAAUACCAGAACACCUUCUCAACUGCUGAUAUGUUUUUGAUAGCCUUUAAAAGCCAAAAGUAAAAUUUUUAGUAGCAGUAAAAGCAUGGACUAAAAUUAAAUAACAAAAGAAAGAGAUGCUUAUACUCCCAAUUUGUUUUACCCAGAGCAGGAAAAAGAACAGAUGUCAGCCACCUUUUGUUGCUCGAAAAUAAAGGCCAAAAGGCAUAAUGCACAACUUCUCUGCUCAACAUAGUUUUUUCAGCUUUGCUGUGCAGGAUGAAGCAACAUCUUUGGAAUUGGAUUGUAAAAGUAUUGGGAAUUGCGAAAUAAUCAGCCCUUACCAGGUAUACCUUUAUAGGAUGAUUCUUAAUGGUACAACAAUACCUAAAGAGUGGAAAAUCACCUAUAUCUGGAGAUGGUUUCUACAUCCUACCAUAUUAAAGCAACUUAUCAAGGGGUCCAUUGAAACAAACCCAUACACCCUUACCAGAAAAUAGGCUGUGAUACCUGUUAUUUUUUUUCAACUUGAUCAGACUCCAAGUACAAUAUAUUACAGAACAGGCAGAAAUUGGAUUGUAAAAGUAUUGGGGAUUGAGAAAUAGAGUAAUCAGCCCCUUACCAGGGAUACCUUUAUAGGAUGAUUCUUAAUGGUACAACAAUACCUAAAGAGUGGAAGAUCACCUAUGUCUGGAGACGAUUUCUACAUCCUACCAUAUUAAAGCAACUUAUCAAGGGGUCAACUGAAACAAACCCAUUCGACCUUACCAGUAAAUAGGCUGUGAUACCUGUUUUCAUUUUUCAACUUGAACAGACUCCAAGUACGAUAUAUUACAGAACAGGCAGAUGCUCAGCAUACUCAUAGUUGCCAAACAGAAGUUGUACAUGCAUUGCUAUUUAGAACUACCAUGUAAGGAUAGAGUUUUGCAACUACAACAUGCAUUACUGCAUAUCAAGUUUAUACAAGCAUUUUUAAAAUAGGUUCUUAGUAAGCUUAGGUAUAUAGUAAGUACAUAUGUCAAAAGAUUUAACCUUUUUUACAAGAAAAAAUAUAGCUUGAUUUGAAAAAACUGGAAAUCAAAAAACUUUAAAACUUGAAAUUUAGUUUAGGAAACUAAAAUCUUUUAUGCAAGAAACAGAAAGGAUAAAGCGGCUGCAUAACCUCUUACCAAACCUGCAUGAGGGUGCUCAAAAAUACCUACCCG
rnacentral:lncRNA from 1 species